GGCCUAACACAUGCAAGUCGAACGAUACUUUCCAGCUUGCUGGAGAGGAAAGUGGCGCACGGGUGCGUAACGCGUAUGCAACCUACCUUAAUCAGGGGGAUAGCCCGAAGAAAUUCGGAUUAACACCGCAUAAAAUCACAGUACAGCAUUGUACAAUGAUCAAAUAUUUAUAGGAUUAAGAUGGGCAUGCGUGACAUUAGUUAGUUGGCGGGGUAACGGCCCACCAAGACCACGAUGUCUAGGGGAUCUGAGAGGAUGACCCCCCACACUGGUACUGAGACACGGACCAGACUCCUACGGGAGGCAGCAGUAAGGAAUAUUGGUCAAUGGAGGCAACUCUGAACCAGCCAUGCCGCGUGCAGGAAGACAGCCCUCUGGGUCGUAAACUGCUUUUAUUCGGGAAUAAACCUAUCUACGUGUAGAUAGCUGAAUGUACCGAAGGAAUAAGGAUCGGCUAACUCCGUGCCAGCAGCCGCGGUAAUACGGAGGAUCCAAGCGUUAUCCGGAUUUAUUGGGUUUAAAGGGUGCGUAGGCGGCUUAUUAAGUCAGGGGUGAAAGACGGUGGCUCAACCAUCGCAGUGCCCUUGAUACUGAUGAGCUUGAAUACACUAGAGGUAGGCGGAAUGUGACAAGUAGCGGUGAAAUGCAUAGAUAUGUCACAGAACACCGAUUGCGAAGGCAGCUUACUAUGGUGUCAUUGACGCUGAGGCACGAAAGCGUGGGGAUCAAACAGGAUUAGAUACCCUGGUAGUCCACGCCCUAAACGAUGAAUACUCGCUGUUAGCGAUACACAGUUAGCGGCUAAGCGAAAGCGUUAAGUAUUCCACCUGGGGAGUACGCCCGCAAGGGUGAAACUCAAAGGAAUUGACGGGGGCCCGCACAAGCGGAGGAGCAUGUGGUUUUAAUCGAUGAUACGCGAGGAACCUUUAUCGGGCUUGAAAGUUAGUG
rnacentral:rRNA from 1 species